UCCGGCCCCCGGUGGCCGCAGGUCACCCCGGCCGCGGGCUGCGCAGGGAGUGUAGGGUUGAGCAGGAGGGACCGCGCCCGGAAGAUGUCUGGAUUGCUGGGUGGUGAGCGGGCGUGUGGGACCCCCGGGAGGACUCGGGCUCGCUCCUCCACUUCCAACCCGUGGGGGGCGGACCCGUGUUGGGAAAGUUGAGCGUACUCCCAGGGUGGGGUCAGAGAGGACCGCUGCUGCCCUCGCGUGGCCAGGCAGCCCUCGAGGCUCCUGGCCCUCCCACGCCCUAGCUGUGACCGAGGGGACGGAUAUUGCCGAAGCUGCCUGCUCUCGCUUCAGGAAUCACUGCGGGCCAAAGAAGUGGGUGUAUGAGGAAGUCUACCAUUAUUUUAUUUGCUAGUGUUGGACACUUUAAACGGGCAGGUCUCUGGAAGAAGUUCGCCAGAUCCUUUUGCCUGUAAAGAAGGUGAGGCCCAGAGAAGCGUUUCCACAAACAGUGUGUGACAGCACGAAUUUACAGUGAGGUGGGCCUUGACGACACACAGGAAGCGGAGGCAGAUGAUCUCCAUGAGUUAGUUCCAGGCCAACCUGGGCCACAUACAUGAUAUCCUGUCUCAAAAACCAAGCAAGCAAGCAACCAGUCAGAUUUACACUCAGGCACGUGAGGUGCCCACGCAGAUGAUGGCUCCCUACUGCCUUCCGUGCGCCUCUUCCAACCUGCCUUGUGCACCAUCCAACCGACCUCUGCUCGGAACAGGUUUCAACAAAGAUUUGCUGAAUAAAUGCAUGUUAGAACUCAGACGGAGUCCACUGCAGGUGCUGCUGGGCUGGUGGCUCAUGCCUGUAAUCCCAGCACUCCCGAGGGAGCAGGUCAACAUUGGCUGUGUCAUGAAACUGUCUCAAACCCAGGCAAAUGCAUACACAGACGCUCACUCAGGAUAGGACGCACAAAGCAUACAUUUGGUAAAUCAGGUAACCGGGGUGGUGAAGUGCAGUUUGGCCCUCAGGCCUCUUCAUUCAUUCAGUAAGCGUCGGCUGAGUGUGAACUGAAAGCUCUAAACUAACCAAGAAUUUCUGCGUAGUCUAGCUGUGUGGUGGCAGCCCACAUCUUUAAUCCCAGCACUCAGGAGGCAGAGCAGGAGGAUCUCUGAGAGUCUGAGACCACCCUGGUCUACAGAGCCAGUCCUAGAACAGACGAGGCUACACAACGAAACCUUGUCUUGAAAAAAGGAUAGACAGACUUACAUUGUGAAGAACACAAACAAUCAAACAGAGCUAACAGUUAUUGAAGCUUUAUUACAUGAACUUUGCCCCCAACCCACACUAUGUUUAGUGUUUAUGUUUAGUUCUUAUGAGGCCAUACUUCAUUAUCUUCAUUUUACUGAGACAUGGAAGCUCAGAGAAGUUAUAGUGUCUUUGGGUCAAAACAGACCUAAGAGUCCCUGUUCUUGGGGCUACGGAUGGCUCAGUGGUUAAGAGUACUGGCUGCUUUUCCAGAGCACCUAGAGUCAAUUCCUAGCUCACAUAACAGUCCCUGUCUAUAACUCCAGUUCCAGGGAGUUCCAGUUUCCCAAAUAUAUAUGCAGGUAAAACACCAAUGCACAUGAUAGUAAAAAUAAAUAAUUCUUUUAAAAAA